UGAGAGAUGGCUUAGAGGGUAAGAGCACUGACUGCUAUUCAGAAGCCCCGGGUUCAACUCCCAGCACUCAC
rnacentral:tRNA from 1 species